ensembl:lncRNA
GGUGUGGGGUGUAGUAGAGGGUGUAGAACUCAUGUGCAUGGUGGUGAUGUGUAGGACAGUAGAGGUUCCCAUGGGUGUCGGUGUCUUUCUUGUAACCACAUGUAAUCCAUUUUUAAAGAAGAAAAGGUGUUUUCGUACUCGGGGUCGGGGUUUAUUUUCAUUUAGGCUGGACCAGCCUUUUGGGGCAGCUGGGGUUGGUCCUUGGGGGUUUCCCUGGGAGGUCGUUGGUUCCAAGUCCGGCCGUGCUGCUGCUCCUGCUCCGUGUGUGUGGCACCGCUCCAGAAACCAGAUCAAAGCUUGCCAGAGAAAAAAAAAAAAAAGAAAAAAAGGAAUUUAAUUGUAAAAAUGCUGGAAAUGAUCUUGAUGACCUCUUUCUUUUUUUCUUUGUAAAGCUGUAAAUACUUUAUUUUUGUUUUCUAUUCUUAAUGCGGUGUCAUAUUGACACUUUUUUAGAUUUACAGUCAGAAAAUCCUCCUCAUUGUUUCUCAUUUUUUAAAAGGGGAUUUCAAGGAAGCAAAUUUUUUUGCUCGCUAGCAGUGUAAUAAUAGAUCAAAUUCCUAAACUGGGUUUGUACAAAAAUGUUUUCAGUAAACAAAUGGCAGUUUGUGGAUGCAUGUUGUUCAAAAAUGUCCAAAGAAUAACGUGGUACAAAUGUUUUAAAGAAUAAUGUGGUACAAACAUUUUUUUCAAAGACUUAGUGAUUAUCAUCUUAGUUCACACAAGGAAAAAAAGCAAAAUUAUUUAAAAAAAAUGUUUGGGGGGGAAUGUAAUGAAACUCAUCUAAGCUAAAUGUGUAAUCUAUUUAUAAAAACACAGUAUAUAUUCUAUUUUUAUCAGAGGUUUUUAAAGUGCAAACAGAUUUCUGUUGGCAGAUGCAAUUGUUCCCUUGUAAAGUCUCUUCUGCUCUGUGGGACCCCCAAAUUCUCUGAUGGUUCCAAGAGUCAAUGUGGAAAUCACCAGGACAGGUUUGGCUGUGGAGCACUCACAGGGGAGGCUGCAGCUUCAGCAUCUCUUCUGCCUCUGCAGAAUUGUUGCUGUGAUUUUAUUCCCUUCCCUGUGCUUUUAUUCCCUUUCCCCGACUGGGAGGAUACUCCUGGAAAGGGUCAGGACCUCCUGGAGCACGGCAGGACAGGGGUUAAACUCUGCCUCAGCCUGGAGAAUAUAAAAAUUAAAUAUAAAUAAUAUUCCUACCUGUAGAAAUUUGGAUUAACUCAACAAAACCAAACAACAGAUGGGAAUCCUGCCUGAAUAUGCAUCCAGAGCUGCUUCUGAAGGGAAAUAAUAUUAAUUUUCUUUUCCGUGCUCAUUGCUGCCAGCAGAACCACGAGCAGGGUGCUCCCGGAGCCGCUCCGUGUUUCCCUUGGCUCUGGGAAUCCGGGAUGUUUGUGUUGGAAGAGCUGCAGAGCUGUGAGGUUUCAUGUUUGAGUGCUUCAUUUUAGAGCUGAGUGUUUAAGGAGCGAUUUAUCCCGGCUAAAUUAAGACAUCCCAGCACUUCCAGGAGGCAGGAACACCCCAGUGAGGAUUUUCCACCUUUGGCUGGAGGACUUUUGGGGUUUUUCUCCUUUUAAAUGCUGGGUUUUAAGCUUUUUUAGCGGGAUGUAAUGUGUGUCUGUUUGAGUUUUAGCUAAGAAACAAAAUUACCAGCGAGGCAAGAGGUUAUUCCUGGUGGGAAUAACAGCAGAGGUGAGCUGGGAGCUGCUCCCUGCCUGCCAAAUUCUCCGUGGGAAUGGGAUGCCAGCCCUUCUCCCUGGCCCAGGCUUUGGCACAGCAGUGGGGAAGCACUUGAGCUUUCCCUUUCUGUCUGUUUUUGUGCAGCUUCGCUGUCCUCAGACCCUUCUGCGUUUGCAGGAGCCUUUCAGAGCUUCUCUUUUGAAGGAGCAACAAAUUGUGUUUCGAUGUGGGUGUUUGAUUGCAGAAUCACCAUCCCCCUAAUCUGAGGCACUCCAACAGUGAAGCACUGGGGAGGGGGUGCUUGGCGGUCUGGCCAGCUCCUUUUUUGGGAAAUAAUGAUGUUAAAGCUUAAAACAACCCCCGGGGUGGCUUCACACCGCUGUCAUCUCUGAGGCAGAGCAGCCCAGACCACGGUGCCACAAACCCGCUGGAGCUGCCCAGACUGCCACCCCCGAACCCCCAAAUUUCUGUUUUAUUGGAGAGGCUUUGAGGGCAGUCCAACCUCAGUCACUAAAACACACUCCUUCCUGUGACCUGGUUUCACCAAAAAACUCACAACCCAGUCCCUGAAACACCUUCCUGUGGUUAAAGUACAUGUAGCGACCUUCAGCCAAAAAAGAUUAUUUAUUAUUUAUCAUGUUCGAGUGCGGGGUAUUGAUGCCUCUUCCCUCCUGCUGUGUCACUUCUUGUCGAUUCCUCUUUAGGUCACUUAAGAGUUUCUUUUAUCCCCACGACAACGAACUGCUGAUGGUGUGAGAAUGCCCCUGGUUACCGUCCCCGUGUAAAUAUUGUGCUUUAUAUUCUGUAUAUUAGCUAAUUUUAAUGGAAAAGACUGGACUGAUGAUGCUGUUGGAUGAUCCCAGGAGGGGAAAGGCCAGAGGAUGACCCAGCUCCCGGCCUCUGGGGCUGGAAUUCUGUGCUGGGAACCCGCAGCAGCUGGAAUGGGACACCACCAGUGGAUUUGGGACCACGAAACGCUUCGAGAAUCCAAUCCACGUCCGGAGGAGCCCUGAGAACUCCCUCAGCCAGAGCCAGAACCACCAGAACCACGCGGCCUCCUCCGAGCUCGGCGGAUUUGCUCUGUUUUCCUUUUUUUAGUGCCAAAACCGACCCCACCAACCCCUUGCAGGUCUGCUGGUGGCUCUCUGUGUGCUGCUGUAGUGUCCAGCUGUGUCCAGCUGUGUCCAGGUGUGUCCAGCGUGUCCAGCUGUGUCCAGCUGUGUCCAGCUGUGCCCAGCCCACCCCACCCCUCCGUCCUGCCGGACCCCAGGGGCAGCAGCUGCCCAUGAAACAGGUCCCAGUCGGUCUCCGGUGACGAUGAAAACCACAAAAAACUAUAAAAUAAAUACCAAACUCC